CCUAAGGGAGGCAGCAGUGGGGGAUAUUGCACAAUGGGGGAAACCCUGAUGCAGCGACGCCGCGUGUGGGAAGACGGUCCUCUGGAUUGUAAACCACUGUCCCCAGGGACGAAGAUGACGGUACCUGGGGAGGAAGCUCCGGCUAACUACGUGCCAGCAGCCGCGGUAAUACGUAGGGAGCAAGCGUUGUCCGGAAUUACUGGGUGUAAAGGGAGCGUAGGCGGGAUGGCAAGUUGGGUGUUAAAUCUACCGGCUCAACUGGUAGUCGCACUCAAAACUGCUAUUCUUGAGUGAAGUAGAGGCAGGCGGAAUUCCUAGUGUAGCGGUGAAAUGCGUAGAUAUCAGGAGGAACACCGGCGGCGAAGGCGGCCUGCUGGACCGCGACUGACGUUGAGGCUCGAAAGCGUGGGGAGCGAACAGGAUUAGAUACCCUAGUAGUC
rnacentral:rRNA from 1 species